rnacentral:rRNA from 1 species
AGCGUAGACGGAUGGACAAGUCUGAUGUGAAAGACUGGGGCUCAACCCCGGGACUGCAUUGGAAACUGCCCGUCUUGAGUGCCGGAGAGGUAAGCGGAAUUCCUAGUGUAGCGGUGAAAUGCGUAGAUAUUAGGAGGAACACCAGUGGCGAAGGCGGCUUACUGGACGGUAACUGACGUUGAGGCUCAAAAGCGUGGGGAAGCAAACAG